rnacentral:tmRNA from 1 species
GGGGAUGUCAGGUUUCGACGGGGGUAGAGAAACCGGAUAAGCGAGCCGUGGACGCCGGAUCCACGUAAAAAGCUGGCCGUUUAAACACAAACGCAAAAAGUGAUAAUAAUUUCGCAUUUGCUGCUUAAUUGAUGCAGCCCGCGCGUCAUGCCCGGUUCACCUGCAGGCUGGGGUCAUGGCGUCGACUAUGCAGGAAAACUUCGUUGUGACUCCCGUAACAACGAGGGACUAACGGGAUAACUCGGGCUGUGGCCUGCCGAUGGGCAGCAGUCUGGGCGAAAACUCAAUCAUCGGAUGCGCUCGGAGAAAGUCUAGUGGACGUGCUUUCGGACAUGGGUUCGAUUCCCAUCAUCUCCACCA